ACAGAUAGUUUUACGAACUACUAACCUAUCGAUCGUCGCAUGCAACGAUUGAUAGAAAAAAAAAUUACCACGCAUAUAUAAAGAGACAGUUUAAGCAAACACACCAUUUUAGAUUAUGAUUCUGUUGCUGCCAACAUUUGAGGCUCUCUCCGCCUAGACAAUGGGUGGAAGAGCGCAAAUGUUUCAAGCAGCAAAACAGAUUUAAGCAUAUUUGUGAUAGCUAAUAGAAAACACACAUCCAAACAAACCAAAAAAUUGCACCACUGAAAAUCCCACCCAAUACUAACCGAGAUUUGGAAAUAAUUUCUCCCAUCCAAUAGCCAGAAAGGCUAAGAAUCACAAAAUAGAAAGAAUUCACUUGUAAAAUAAAAAAAUAAAAAAAAAUUAGGACUUCUGUAACAUGUUCUUCUUAUUUGGUAAUGCAUAUAUUAACGCAUGUAGUUAUAGGUAUAAUUAAUAUAUGUAUGUAUGUAGAACUCAAGAAAACAGAAUAUUAUAAUAAUAAUGUUAAAAUCGUACACACAUAUUGCACGUUUAAUAAUAUACAGAAUUAUUUUGAAAUUUCAAUUUUUUGGUAUACUAAAAGAUAGAUGGAAAGACACAUAUCUUCGUCAUAUUUGGGAAGUUUCGUCAUCUGUUAGGCUGCGCAUAUUCAGCUUAUUAAUUGUAUGAUGAAAUCUCCAAAUACGUAAAUUUUGAAUUACAUAUCUAUAUUAUUAAACGUGCAAUAUGUAAGUAUGUAUUUUAUUCGAUAGAUAGCAAGUAAAAUGCGCAAAAGCUAAGCAAGUGCAGCUGUGAUAGGUUUAAGUCAACUUCUAUCCUACUAUAAAUCGAAUUAAAAUAUUAAACAGCAUCUCACCCGCAUCAAAAAGUCAGCGUCGUUCGAGUACUGAGUUAAAAAAGUUUAUUAAAAACUUUAAGCAAUUAAUUCAAAACUUACUUGGUGUAAGCCUCGCUCUUAUGUGCUAAAACAAAAAGGGAAUGUUGGAAUUCCUCCGUAUGUGUAGUACACUUCUAUUCGAUGAAGUUUUGUUGAAUAUUAAAAAAAAAAAGGCUCGUUCACUUUACUCAGCUGCAGUAAUUUUUUUAGCGAGGCUUCUUUGGCAAUGAAGAAGUCAACAAACACAUUUAAUAAGUAUACAUAAAUAAGUGGAAACAUUUUUCAUCAUCGUACAUCUCUUCAAUGAUGUUAUGAUGUGCUUUAAAAAUUUCACCAUAUGUACGUAUGUGUGUACAUCUCGCCUUCAAAGUAAGACCUCUAUUGAGGUACUCUGUGGCGCCGAAUGAGCUAUAUGGCUUGAAUUCUUUUUAACAGUUUUCUUUGGGGAUAUUUGAAAGAAAGAGUGUACGUUAACAAACCAAGAACCAUUCUCCAACUCGAAACCAACAUUCGAAAUGAAAUCAUGGCCAUUACACCCGAAAG